rnacentral:rRNA from 1 species
UACGUAGGGGGCGAGCGUUGUCCGGAAUCAUUGGGCGUAAAGCGCGUGUAGGCGGCCCGGUAAGUCCGCUGUGAAAGUCCAGGGCUCAACCCUGGGAUGCCGGUGGAUACUGUCGGGCUCGAGUCCGGAAGAGGCGAGUGGAAUUCCUGGUGUAGCGGUGAAAUGCGCAGAUAUCAGGAGGAACACCGGUGGCGAAGGCGGGAUCCUGGGCCAGUACUGACGCUGAGGAGCGAAAGCGUGGGGAGCAAACAGG